rnacentral:snRNA from 1 species
AGCUUUGUGCAGUGGCAAUAUCACAGCCAAUGAGGUUUAUGCAAGGCAUGAUUAUUGCUAAGAAAUAAUAAGUUAAAAAUGUGGAGAGCAUGUGAGGCCAACACCCUACGGUGAUGUCUGGCCUCCACAUGCAUGU